rnacentral:lncRNA from 1 species
AUGUGAAGCCCGCCGAUCAUCCUGUUGUGGGAGGCACCGGCGAUUUCCUGUUUGUUCAAGGCUACGUGACAUCGUCCCCUGUCGAUCUCAGGGGCCUAACUGUUGUCUACAAGAUUGCAUUUCACCUUUACUGGCCUCCGUAUGCAACUCAAGCUUCUUAAGCGUGAUUUUGUAUCUCCACUUUUUCCUUAAUGUUAUCGCUAUCUAAGAUUGAAAUGUAAUUUGAUUAGAUCAUCGGUUAAAUCCACGAUGAAAACCGAAAAUAGAUGAAUCAAUCUGAUGUAAAAAUAAAUAAAUGUGGUUUCACGAAACAGGAAUCAAAAUUUCAAUCUCUAAUUAAUCGUCAUAGCGAAGAUACAGAAAAUUUCAAGUUACAAUUUUCAAACCAUGUCCACGAAAAGCUUGAACAAGGCGCAAGCAUUUACAGAAAAAAGAACGAUGAUAAGAAUAUAAGUCGUUACCAAAAGAAGCAGGUGUUUACAUGUCGUGUUAACUUUCGCGUAUAACUGAUGAAGAAUUCAAGACUCUGUGUGGGGUACGAAUCAAAGAAUCAAAUACCAUGAAGCAAGCAGGAAAAGCUUCACGAAUGCAGCUAUAGCAAUACUUAGACCUGCCCAUAUAAAUGAGAAGAACAAGUGCCGUAGAUCGUACCUAACUGCAAAAGCAUUGGAGGCAAAAUCAUCAUUUAGUUGCAGAUUUGCAAAGAUGUUAACGAUCAGAUAUUGUUUCUCUCAAGAAAAUUAACCAACAUUGUCCCGGUCCCAUCCCACCCUUUCACCACCGAAGCCAUGAUUUCUGCAAAUCUAUCUUUGUCACAACAUGACAUGUUUAUAUUUACCUUGCCUCAAUGACAAUGUCGCAAAAAAGAACCCCGUCAAAACGAAAAACAAAGCCAGUGGAAAUGACUGCAGAACAAUGCGCACCUGCAGACAUUGUAAGCCCUCUAAGCACAACCUCUAUAUGCUAGAUAGAGAGAGAGAGAAAGAGAGAAGGUAGAAGAAAAGAGAAAAGGAUGUACUCACAGACUCUAAAGCAUUCAUCUAAUUUGGGAUGUGAUUUAAUAGUUUCUUCAGCCGCAAAAAUUCCAAGCCUUCUAAGUUGGCAUUCCAACAUAUUUCGGGCUAUCAUGCUCUGCAACAAAUCAGACUCUUUUAGGGAAGAAACAUUGGGAAAAAAAGGUAUACAACUAGAACCAUCAAUAAAGUGAUUAUAAAAUAGUAGUCCGGGUUUGGCUGCAUAACUGAAAGAAGUAGUAGCGACAACAGUUAAAAAGUCAUUAUUUCUUAGCUGUGAAUCAUGUACUAAAAUAUAUACAUAAUUAACUUAAUAAAAGCACAACGCACAUCUCCAACGGUGAUAGAUUUGUAAAGAGGAAGCGAUCAUGUCUCAGAUCUUUCAACUCAUUUUCUUUAUGUUCUUGUAUUUAUAUGGAGGGAGUUUAAGGUUUCGUGUUCACUUGAGGUUUCAUUUCUCUUCAGCAGGAUCAUAUGAUGGAGAAAAACAGUGUGAUUAGUGAAAGCGAAAGCAGGGCAAUUGCAAGCCAAAAGUUGGGGGGUUUAGGCACUUUUCUGAGGAAAUGCUUGUUCAGUGUUGUCUCUGUGGGCCCCAUUCCUGAACACAUAGCCUUCAUCAUGGAUGGAAACAGAAGGUAUGCAAAGAGGAGGAACUUGCCUGUUGGGGAAGGCCACAGAGCUGGAUUUCCAUCUCUCAUGUCGAUUCUCCGGUACUGCUAGGAUUUGGGAGUGAAGUAUGUGACAGUGUAUGCCUUCAGCAUUGACAAUUUCAAGAGGCGGCCCGACGAGGUGAAAACUCUGAUGGAUUUGUUGCGGGAGAAGAUUGAAGGGUUGCUUGAGAAAGAAAGCAUUGUAAACCAGUUUGGCAAUCGGGUAUACUUUAUCGGUAACUUGAAGCUUUUGAACGAGUCUGUGAGGGUUGCUGCUGAGAAGGCAAUGAAGGCCACUGCCAAUAAUUCAAAGGCUGUGCUUUUGAUCUGUGUGGCUUAUACUUCUUGUGAUGAGAUUAUCCAUGCUGUUGAAGAAUCCUGCAAUGUGAAAAAGAGCGAAAUUCGAGCACAGAUUAACGGAGCAAAGGGUGGCCGCAAUGGCGGUAUGGAUGGAGAAGCGGGGUUAGAUACUAGCUAAGCUUGCAAUGAGAACGUUGAGGGGGAGGAGAAGGAAAACACAAGGGUUAAACAUGUCGAAAAAGAUGAAGGGGAAUUUCUAGAGAGUGAGAAGCAGCUUCCUGUUGUAAAGGUAGUGAAUGUUGAGAAGCACUUGUACAUGUCAGUGGCACCUGAUCCAGACAUUUUGAUUCGAACUUCAGGUGAGACACGCUUAAGCAAUUUUCUGCUUUGGCAAACUUCUAACUGCCCGUUGUACUCCCCUGCUGCACUGUGGCCGGAUUUGGGUAUGUGGCACUUGGUUUGGGCAAUUCUGAACUUCCAACUAUUUGGAGAAGAAAAGGAAGCAGAUGUAACGAUCAUAACGCUGUGGAGAUUUGUAAAUCAUGUGAUUAUGCUUACAAUUCCUCUGGAAGCUUGGAAAUGUUGAACAAACAGCUUAUAUUUUCCUGGAUUCUUAACUUAUAUGACAGCGUGUCAUUAUUUGGUGAUCUUAAUUAAUAAUAUAUGCUUCUUACUUACUAAAUCAUUCAUGUUAUAACACGUGUAUAACAAUCUUCUACUGCUCGGUUCAGAAGAAUCGGACUCAGUAGAAGAUUGGGCCACGAUGAUUUUAUUAUUGUGAUAUGUUUUUCACACUCAAUGUAACUCUACAUACAGUUGAAGGCGACUAUAGCUUUUGAAAAUGAUGCAGCAACCAAUUCAAGUUUUUUUAUCAUGGUUGCUGCAUGAAAAUUCAAAACAGAGAUAAGGGCCACUUUUCUGGAUAAUCAACCAACCCCCCCUUUGGAUGGUCUUGAUCAAAACCCCAAAAUCUGUGUUUUGACGAUCGGGCAGCAGAUAUUGAGUCAAAAAUUACCUACCAAAUGUGAAUUUAUGCUCUCCCAUUGUAUAAGACUCCAUACUAGAACUAGACUUUCAUGUAAAAUUCAGUGUUCUCCAAGUUCUUCAUGCUAGAACUGCCAUGGCUCUCGCUCUGCGAUUCGAUAUAGUUCUUCUUCCGGUUCUACUUUCCGCCCUCCUCCUAACUAAAGCCGCCUCUACCUCUCAUCACCACCAUGACCGUCGCCACCACCAUAACCGUCACCACCAUCAUCUCAAGUCCCUCCACUUCACUCUCUUUCAACACGAAACCAGAAACAGAACUGGAUAUAUUGUAGUGAAUGGUGUAACAGGACCAGGCGUAAGUCAAACCACUACCCCUUUUGGCACCGUGUUUGUUUUCCAGGAUCCGAUGACUGUCACAGCCAAUCAAUCUUCAAAAGCAGUUGGGAUAGCUCAAGGAACUACCGUCUCAUCCAGCUUAGAUGGACUUCAGAGCAUUUCAGUGGCUAAGAUCACUUUGCGCUUGAAGAACCACUCUGGUUCAGUUUCUAUAGUCAGAGACACGCAUAAUGUGAAGGCCACCGAUCAUCCCGUUGUGGGAGGCACCGGCGAUUUCCUGUUUGUUCAAGGCUACGUGACAUCGUCCCCUGUCGAUCUCAGGGGCCUAACUGUUGUCUACAGGAUUGCAUUUCACCUUUACUGGCCUCCAUAUACAACUCAAGUUUCUUAAGUGUGAUUUUGUAUCUCCACUUUUUCUUUAAUGUUAUCGCUAUCUAAGAUUGAAAUGUAAUUUGAUUAGAUCAUCGGUUAAAUCCACGAUGAAAACC